rnacentral:rRNA from 1 species
UACAGAGGUCUCAAGCGUUGUUCGGAUUCAUUGGGCGUAAAGGGUGCGUAGGCGGCGCGGUAAGUCGGGUGUGAAAUCCCGGGGCUCAACCUCGGAAUUGCCUUUGAUACUGUCUGUCUUCGAGUUCGGGAGAGGUUGGCGGAAUUCCUAGUGUAGAGGUGAAAUUCGUAGAUAUUAGGAAGAACACCAGUGGCGAAGGCGGCCAACUGGCCCGAUACUGACGCUCAUGUGCGAAAGCGUGGGGAGCAAACAGG